GGACGAACGCUGGCGGCGUGCUUAACACAUGCAAGUCGAACGGUGACGACAGGAGCUUGCUUCUGUUUGAUCAGUGGCGAACGGGUGAGUAACACGUGAGUAACCUGCCCCUGACUCUGGGAUAACCCCGGGAAACCGGAGCUAAUACCGGAUAYGACACCAACGGGCAUCCGUAUGGUGUGGAAAGUUUUUCGGUCUGGGAUGGACUCGCGGCCUAUCAGCUUGUUGGUGAGGUAGUGGCUCACCAAGGCGACGACGGGUAGCCGGCCUGAGAGGGCGACCGGCCACACUGGGACUGAGACACGGCCCAGACUCCUACGGGAGGCAGCAGUGGGGAAUAUUGCACAAUGGGCGAAAGCCUGAUGCAGCGACGCCGCGUGAGGGAUGACGGCCUUCGGGUUGUAAACCUCUUUCAGCAGGGAAGAAGCGCAAGUGACGGUACCUGCAGAAGAAGCACCGGCUAACUACGU
rnacentral:rRNA from 1 species